GGGUUGUGAGGUUAAGCGACUAAGCGUACACGGUGGAUGCCCUGGCAGUCAGAGGCGAUGAAGGACGUGCUAAUCUGCGAUAAGCGCCGGUAAGGUGAUAUGAACCGUUAUAACCGGCGAUUUCCGAAUGGGGAAACCCAGUGUGACUCGUCACACUAUCAUUAACUGAAUCCAUAGGUUAAUGAGGCGAACCGGGGGAACUGAAACAUCUAAGUACCCCGAGGAAAAGAAAUCAACCGAGAUUCCCCCAGUAGCGGCGAGCGAACGGGGAGGAGCCCAGAGCCUGAAUCAGCAUGUGUGUUAGUGGAAGCGUCUGGAAAGGCGUGCGAUACAGGGUGACAGCCCCGUACACAAAAGCGCAUGUGCUGUGAGCUCGAUGAGUAGGGCGGGACACGUGGUAUCCUGUCUGAAUAUGGGGGGACCAUCCUCCAAGGCUAAAUACUCCUGACUGACCGAUAGUGAACCAGUACCGUGAGGGAAAGGCGAAAAGAACCCCGGCGAGGGGAGUGAAAAAGAACCUGAAACCGUGUACGUACAAGCAGUGGGAGCCCCACCACUAAGCCAGUGGUGAACUCCACAUACGCAUCCUUUGCUGAGGAUACGGUUAACGGAGCACAAGCGACGUUCAACCUCAAAAGAAGCAGAGGGGGCUUAGUGGUGGGGUGACUGCGUACCUUUUGUAUAAUGGGUCAGCGACUUAUAUUCUGUAGCAAGGUUAACCGUAUAGGGGAGCCGGAGGGAAACCGAGUCUUAAC
rnacentral:rRNA from 1 species